UUUCAUAAUAUUAAAGAAAUUAGCCACAGCAAUCAAGAGAUGCUAUGGCCAUAUUGAACUAACUACAUAUAUAUAUAUGUAUAUUAAACAAAGCAUGUUUCUAUUUUGAAGAAAAUAUAUCUUCUUGUCAUAUUGAAGUAGCUGAAGUCAGGUAUCACAUUGUACAAUUAAAAACUGCUAUAAUCAGAACUUGCUUCCAUCUCAGUCAUCAUAAUAAGAAAAAUAGGCACUUGUUGGAUUGAACAAAAAGAAAUCGAACUCUCAAGACUGAUAGUGAAGCAUCUUUAUAUGGGGAGCAAAGAUGAGAGAUAUGUAAUGGCUAUCUUAUCCUUCAUGCUAACUAAACAUUGUUGAAGCUAUAGAAGAUGAACUUUCACCGGCUAAGAAUUGAUUGGACAUUGUUGAAGCUGUGGAAGAUGGUCAUUAAUAAGAAGAAAGAAGAGCAAUGUAGAUAUUUGUAUAGGGUAAUGAAAAAGUUGUAAUAGAACAUAUUUGAAUGGUAGAGAGUCUAUCAGAGAGUGGCAGUUAUAUUUGGCAGCUUGUGCACA